GACGAACGCUGGCGGCGUGCCUAAUACAUGCAAGUCGAGCGGAACUUAGAAAGCUUGCUUUCUAAGUUUAGCGGCGGACGGGUGAGUAACACGUGGGCAACCUGCCUAUAAGACUGGGAUAACUUCGGGAAACCGGAGCUAAUACCGGAUAAUAUAAAAGAUCACAUGGUCUUUUAUUGAAAGAUGGCUUCGGCUAUCACUUAUAGAUGGGCCCGCGGCGCAUUAGCUAGUUGGUGAGGUAAUGGCUCACCAAGGCGACGAUGCGUAGCCGACCUGAGAGGGUGAUCGGCCACACUGGGAAUGAGACACGGCCCAGACUCCUACGGGAGGCAGCAGUAGGGAAUCUUCCGCAAUGGACGAAAGUCUGACGGAGCAACGCCGCGUGAGCGAUGAAGGCCUUCGGGUCGUAAAGCUCUGUUGUUAGGGAAGAACAAGUAUCGUUCGAAUAGGGCGGUACCUUGACGGUACCUAACCAGAAAGCCACGGCUAACUACGUG
rnacentral:rRNA from 1 species